CACAAAUGGAUAAGAAAAGGUCUAAGCCAUCAGGUGCCCAGUUAAGAAAAAGGGGGAAAGAAGAAGAGGAGAAACGUCCAAAAGAUAAAGGGGCACUUCUAAAAUAUUUUGGAACACCCUCUGGCACUGGCCAGGAUGAGGAGCCAUCAACCUCCUCAGCCACACAGGUGUUUUCACAAAUGUUGUCUGAGGAUGAGGAUGAAGAACCAUUUGCUUCCACUUCUCCCCAGCAGGAUUCUUCAGAAAUGCCUGUAGCAGCAUCCUCACCAAAUCCUGCUGCUGAGGAUGAACCACUGUCUACAGACACUGCUGACUGGCCAUCAGUUCUAACUGACAGAAUUCGGACACAGCUAGUUUGCAGAGGACCAAGUGAGGUACCACCUAACAUUGUUUUCCCAAGGAAUGAGAGUGAUGAAAAAAGUUGGUUGGUGUAAUCUGAAAGAAACAACAGCCUCUUCUGCUUCUGCUGUAAACUAUUUUCUAAGAAUAAAAUUAAUUUAGCAAACUCAGGACUGACAGACUGGAAACAUGCAAGCUCUUUGCUGACUUCACUUUGCUGACUUCACUAGGGACUUCCACUGCUAUGCGGAUGACACACAGCUGUACAUUUCAAUGAAACAUGGUGAAGC